AGUGAACGCUGGCGGUAGGCCUAACACAUGCAAGUCGAACGGCAGCACAGUAAGAGCUUGCUCUUACGGGUGGCGAGUGGCGGACGGGUGAGGAAUACAUCGGAAUCUACUUUUUCGUGGGGGAUAACGUAGGGAAACUUACGCUAAUACCGCAUACGACCUACGGGUGAAAGCAGGGGAUCUUCGGACCUUGCGCGAUUGAAUGAGCCGAUGUCGGAUUAGCUAGUUGGCGGGGUAAAGGCCCACCAAGGCGACGAUCCGUAGCUGGUCUGAGAGGAUGAUCAGCCACACUGGAACUGAGACACGGUCCAGACUCCUACGGGAGGCAGCAGUGGGGAAUAUUGGACAAUGGGCGCAAGCCUGAUCCAGCCAUACCGCGUGGGUGAAGAAGGCCUUCGGGUUGUAAAGCCCUUUUGUUAGGAAAGAAAAGCAGCAGGUUAAUACCCCGCUGUUCUGACGGUACCCAAAGAAUAAGCACCGGCUAACUUCGU
rnacentral:rRNA from 1 species